GUGCCCAUAGUGUAAUGGUUAACACAAGAGUCUGUGGAUCUCUUAAUUCGGGUUCAACUCCCGAUGGGCACC
rnacentral:tRNA from 1 species